rnacentral:rRNA from 1 species
UACGUAGGGACCGAGCGUUGUCCGGAAUCAUUGGGCGUAAAGAGCGUGUAGGCGGCGUGGUAAGUCGGGUGUGAAAUCUCGGAGCUUAACUCCGAAACUGCAUUCGAUACUGCCGUGCUUGAGGACUGGAGAGGAGACUGGAAUUUACGGUGUAGCGGUGAAAUGCGUAGAUAUCGUAAGGAAGACCAGUGGCGAAGGCGGGUCUCUGGACAGUUCCUGACGCUGAGGCACGAAGGUCAGGGGAGCAAACGGG